rnacentral:rRNA from 1 species
CCUACGGGAGGCAGCAGUGGGGAAUAUUGCACAAUGGGCGGAAGCCUGAUGCAGCCAUGCCGCGUGUGUGAAGAAGGCCUUAGGGUUGUAAAGCACUUUCAGCGGGGAGGAAGGCGGUAAGAGUAAUAUGCUUAUCAAUUGACGUUACCCGCAAAAGAAGCACCGGCUAACUCCGUGCCAGCAGCCGCGGUAAUACGGAGGGUGCGAGCGUUAAUCGGAAUAACUGGGCGUAAAGAGCAUGUAGGCGGUAAGUUAAGUCAGAUGUGAAAUCCCCGAGCUUAACUUGGGAACGGCAUUUGAGACUGGCUGGCUAGAGUUUUGUAGAGGGGGGUAGAAUUCCAGGUGUAGCGGUGAAAUGCGUAGAGAUCUGGAGGAAUACCGGUGGCGAAGGCGGCCCCCUGGACAAGGACUGACGCUGAGGUGCGAAAGCGUGGGUAGCAAACAGGAUUAGAUACCCCAGUAGUC